rnacentral:rRNA from 1 species
UGCAGUCGAACGAGAAAGGAUCCUUCGGGGUCUGAUUACAGUGGCGAACGGGUGAGUAACAGGUAGGUGACCUGCCCUGAGGAGGGGGACAACUGUGGGAAACCACAGCUAAUACCCCAGAUGUUUAUAGUGCUAGAGGCUAUAAACUAAAGCUUUUGCGCCUCGGGAGGGGCCUGCAAGCUAUCAGCUUGUUGGUGAGGUAAUGGUUCACCAAGGCUAAGACGGCUAGGGGGCGUGAGAGCGCGACCCCCCACAAUGGAACUGAGACACGGUCCAUACUCCUACGGGAGGCAGCAGUGAGGAAUAUUGCACAAUGGGGGAAACCCUGAUGCAGCAACGCCGCGUGGACGAAGAAGGCCCUCGGGUCGUAAAGUCCUUUUCUGAGGGAAGAUAGUGACGGUACCUCAGGAAUAAGUCCCGGCUAACUACGUGCCAGCAGCCGCGGUAAAACGUAGGGGGCGAGCGUUAUCCGGAUUUAUUGGGCGUAAAGCGCGCGUAGGCGGCAUGGUAAGUUGGACGUGAAAGCUCCCGGCUCAACUGGGAGAGGUCGUUCAAAACUGCCAAGCUUGAGAGCAGAAGAGGAGAGUAGAAUUCCCGGUGUAGUGGUGGAAUGCGUAGAUAUCGGGAGGAAUACCAGUGGCGAAGGCGGCUCUCUGGUCUGUUUCUGCCGCUGAGGUGCGAAAGCGUGGGGAGCGAACGGGAUUAGAUACCCCGGUAGUCCACGCUGUAAACGAUGGAUACUAGGUGUAGGAGAUGUUAAAAUUUUCUGUGCCGUAGCAAACGCGAUAAGUAUCCCGC